GGCCCGGCUCUUCCCCGCUGCAAAUGGUGCAAACUUGUGUGGCUCCAGCCAGGUGUGGAGUCUAAGAAGUCCAAGGUUGAGGAGCUGCAUCUGAUGAGAGCCUUCUUGCUGGUUGGGAUCCUCUGCAGAGUCUUGAGUUGGGCAUUAAAAACUGUAUCACAGACACAUGAAUAUUGUAGGCCUCAUCUCCAAGUAUUACCACACUGAGGGUCAAGACUUCAACAUAUGGUGGAGAGCAGGAGUUCUGGAGACUGGAAAAUCCAAAACCACGGCACCAGCAUCUGGUGAAGAUCUUUUCAUGGCAAGAGAGAAAACACAUGCAUGUCAGCUCAAAUCUCUUUCUCUUUUAAUAAUGUUGCUAGUCCCAUCAUGGAGGCCCCAGCCUUAUGACCUUAUCUAAUGCUAAUUACAUCCAAAAGGCUCCACCUCCAAUCAACAUAUGAAUUUGGAAAUUAGGUUUCCAAUACGUGAAAUUUGGGAAAUGUAUUUAAACCACAAACAGCCAGUUUAAAAGAUUUUGCAUUGAAUAAUAAAAGUGAACCAACAAAUGUAU
rnacentral:lncRNA from 10 species